GGAGGGGUUGAAGACUCGCCCCCUAUCCUGACUCUGAGGGGCGAUUUUACAACCCUUCCCA
ensembl:miRNA mdo-mir-7327 mdo-mir-7327